ACAACAUUCGGACCGUCGGUCUACCGAGCAAUAUCCGCUUAUUGGGAGAUCCUCCCUCCGUCAU
rnacentral:pre_miRNA from 1 species